rnacentral:lncRNA from 1 species
GUUUUGAACCUGUCAGACAACCGUGUAACCAUCUCAGCCAGUGGUGAACACAGCCUGAGAACGAUCCUCCACUGCCACAGAUGAUUCUCUCUCAAAGGAGAGAUCAUCAUAGCCAUUAAUCACGCUCUGAUUACACGGUCAUGAUUCAUCAACCAGGUUUAGGUUCUUGUCUCCUUAGAACUCAAGGACACAAUGGUACGAGCCUAUAGAACAGAUCCUGUUCAAGUAAGGUCGUGACCAUUGUCUUCUCAUUUCAGUUAUAUAAAUACUUCCCAUUUUCUAGGUUUCCUCGAUGUGGGACUAAAUUAAUGUUUCUGUAUUUUAUAACUUUGAUGUGUCUACUGUCUAGUGUACAUGUACAUGGAACGUGAUCAUAUUAGUGCUGCCAAAAUGUAAUCAUGUUCCUUAUUUCAUGAUAUCUCUCAAAUGUAUGUUAAUGAAAUGAUACAAAGAGGAAUUAAGAACAUACCCAUAAAUAAAAUAUGAAACACAGAGUUUCUGUACUCUUAACGGAAUGAAUAUAAAUGGGGUGUUUGAAAACAUAAUUGUAAACAGCUAAACAUAAUUGUUGUUGUUAUAGUCAUAAUUGUAAACAUCCAUUACUAUGUUGUCACUGCCAGAAACUGACCAUAAUCUGUAUUAUCUAUAGGAAUGUGCUGUUUUUUCUUCAGUUUUAACAAGAUAUGAACAGAAGAAUGGGAAACGGGAAGUGCAGGAACCGGUUCAUUCGGUUGCGGAGAGCAACUCUUGAAUGGCAAAGUCGUUGAAGGAGUUGAAGAAGAACAAGUUAUGGAUUGCACUUUCAAAGGAAGAAAUUGAGGAGGACAUUUUCGCCAUGACAGGGAGUAGACCUAAUCGAAGGUCAAAGAAGAAGCCGAAAAAUGUUAAGAAACAAAUGGAUGUAUGAAUUUUAAGUCACUCUGUGUUUCCAUUAGUUUAAAAACGAAUAUGAUUAUUGUGAAGUGAACAAAUUUUAGUUAAUUUUUGCAGAGUGUUUUCCCUGGCCUAUGAAGAUGGGGUCAACGUUGAUGCUUACAUUGCAAUUGUAGUGGUGAUUGCAUUGCAUUUAUCACAGUUGUGGAGGUUUUACAUUGUUGCCUUUUAUGUGCAGCAGAGGUUCAAAAAUUGUGGUGGACAAUUUACAAUUGCAUUUGCAUCUGGCUAGUGUAGUUUAUGAUAGCUUUCACAAUCACAUUGCAAUAGCAAUUGCUGCCACAUGUUUCUGCAAUUGUUCACCAUUGUAUUAAAACGCAAUGUAAUCACAACUACAACUCUAUCACGAUUGCAAUUGAAGCUACAAUGGCCAAAUUUCCUGCCAAUUCUAAUGAGAGCAACAUAAUCAGACCCGCAAUUUAAAACCAUGUGUGGGUUUGCUAUGUCCUGAUGACCGCUUCAAUUUAGUUUUUUUGGGUUAUAAUUUCAUGGCAUUGAAUUGAGGAAAUUGAGCAAUGGAUAAUGCUUGUCCACUUUUCAUGUUUCUUAUAAUUUUGUGCUUGUGAAGUGAAAAAAAAUAGUUAAUUUUUGCAGAGUGUUUUCCCUGGCUUAUGAUCUAAUCGAAUUGCAGCUUG